GACGAACGCUGGCGGCAUGGAUUAGGCAUGCAAGUCGAACGAAAAGCAGGAGCUUGCUCCUGUGGACGAGUGGCGAAAGGGUGAGUAACGCGUGAGCAACCUGCCCUCAAGUUGGGGAUAACACUUGGAAACGAGUGCUAAUACCGAAUGUGAAUAUUUUCCCGCAUGGGUUUUUAUUUAAAGAUUUAUCACUUGAGGAUGGGCUCGCGUACCAUUAGCUAGUUGGUGUGGUAACGGCAUACCAAGGCGACGAUGGUUAGGUGGACUGAGAGAUCGGCCACCCACACUGGGACUGAGACACUGCCCAGACUCCUACGGGAGGCUGCAGUCGAGAAUCUUCCGCAAUGCGCGAAAGCGUGACGGAGCAAUGCCGCGUGGUGGAUGAAGGCCUUCGGGUUGUAAAGUUCUGUUUCUUUGGGGAAGAUAACGACGGUACCCAAGGAGAAAGCACCGGCUAAAUACGUGCCAGCAGCCGCGGUAA
rnacentral:rRNA from 1 species